rnacentral:rRNA from 1 species
GAUUGAACGCUGGCGGCAGGCCUAACACAUGCAAGUCGAACGGCAGCACAGAAGAGCUUGCUCUUUGGGUGGCGAGUGGCGGACGGGUGAGUAAUGUCUGGGAAACUGCCCGAUGGAGGGGGAUAACUACUGGAAACGGUAGCUAAUACCGCAUAACGUCGCAAGACCAAAGUGGGGGACCUUCGGGCCUCACACCAUCGGAUGUGCCCAGAUGGGAUUAGCUAGUAGGUGGGGUAACGGCUCACCUAGGCGACGAUCCCUAGCUGGUCUGAGAGGAUGACCAGCCACACUGGAACUGAGACACGGUCCAGACUCCUACGGGAGGCAGCAGUGGGGAAUAUUGCACAAUGGGCGCAAGCCUGAUGCAGCCAUGCCGCGUGUAUGAAGAAGGCCUUCGGGUUGUAAAGUACUUUCAGCGGGGAGGAAGGCGAUGCGGUUAAAUAACCGGGUCGAUUGACGUUACCCGCAGAAGAAGCACCGGCUAACUCCGUGCCAGCAGCCGCGGUAAUACGGAGGGUGCAAGCGUUAAUCGGAAUUAUGGGGCGUAAAGCGCACGCAGGCGGUGUGUCAAGUCGGAUGUGAAAUCCCCGGGCUUAACCUGGGAACUGAUUC